rnacentral:lncRNA from 1 species
GGAUUUUAUUUGAUUUUAACUUAUCAUUUUGAAUCAUUAUUAUUUUUCUCUCUUCUCAAAUAUUUUCUGAUGUCAAUUCUGCUUUCCUCCUCUGCCUGACUUUUUUCUUUUUAUUUUCUCUGUAUUUUUUGUUUUUCGUUUCUCCUUUAAUUUUGUUCAUUCCUUUUUGUUUUCUCCUUGUUAAAAUCCAGAAUUUUGGUGUUUUACGUAUAGUUGGGUAAGUAAGGAUUUCACUUGUCUGUAGGUUUCGAUUUCGGUCAGCUGUUGGUUCUAUACUUUUCGUUUGAAUUUCUAAAUGGUGUGAAGAAAGGGGGAUUGAUUCUCUGUGAUGUAUUGUGCAAGAGUAGUUGGUGAACCUGCGGAUUUUGCUACAACAGCAUAAAU